rnacentral:rRNA from 1 species
GACGAACCGUGCGAACGUUGUUCGGAAUCACUGGGCAUAAAGGGCGCGUAGGCGGGCCGUAAAGUCAGGGGUGAAAUCCUCCAGCUUAACUGGAGAACUGCCUUUGAUACUGACGGCCUCGAGUGAGGUAGGGGCGUGCGGAACUGAUGGUGGAGCGGUGAAAUGUGUUGAUAUCAUCAGGAACUCCGGUGGUGAAAGCGGCACGCUGGACCUUUACUGACGCUGAGGCGCGAAAGCCAGGGGAGCGAACGGG